UUUCUUGGAAUCGACCUCAAUUCCGUAGUGCAUUGCAGUGUAUUAAAUUGAUCAAUUGCAAGCACUGCGGGAGUGAAGUUGAUGGUGAGAAGAACAAC
rnacentral:pre_miRNA from 1 species